rnacentral:rRNA from 1 species
UACGUAGGUGGCAAGCGUUACUCGGAAUCACUAGGCGUAAAGCGCAGGUAGGCGGUUUGGUAAGUCUGUUGUGAAAGCUCCCGGCUCAACUGGGAGAGGCCAACGGAAACUACCAGGCUAGAGUGUGGUAGAGGAGACUGGAAUUCCUGGUGUAGCGGUGGAAUGCGCAGAUAUCAGGAGGAACACCAAUGGCGAAGGCAGAUCUCUGGGCCGUAACUGACGCUGAGGAGCGAAAGCAUGGGGAGCGAACAGG